CCAAGACGUAAUGAAUCCCUGGGAUGGAAGCAACAAUGACGAUUUAAGAGAAAUGCUUAAUCAAAUGGCCGUACAGCUGCAAUAACAAAACAACUGGACAUUUCUACAAGCAUGCCAGUAUGUCAAAGAGUGGUACCAAAAACACAUGGCUAAAACGCCAUGUCGCACAUCUAUAUUGACCCGGCAUGCAUGGAUAUCCGAACUAUAUGCGGGCCAUAUGAGUCGAUUUGAGAAAAAUGUUUGCAUGCCGAAGCAAGUUUUUGCCGCUUUGUGUGAGACAUUAGUAAAUGAUUUUGGGUUACAAGUACUGCAACGUCCACAUGGAUUAGCUGUUGAAGAAACCAUUGCAAUGUUUAUCCACGUGUUGAAAGGGAUGCAAAAUCGGGAAAUCCAAGAACGGUUCUAACAUUUGGGGGAGACUGUGUCUCAGCACAUGCAUAACGUAUUAACUUCCAUGAAAGAGUUCACUAUUGUUCAUUGCCGGCCCACAUAUAGUCAGCAUCGUAUACAUCCAUACGUACGGUCUAAACGGAAAUACCUACCGUUCAAGGACUGUAUUGGAGCCAUAGACGGAACACAUAUAAGUGCAUAGGUUACGAGGCCAGAUACAGCAACAUAUUUCGGUAGGAAAUAUUGUCACACACAAAAUAUCAUUGUCGCGUACGAUUUUGACAUGUGUUUCAUCUUUAUUUCGUGCGGAUGGGAAGGAAGUAUGCACGAUAGUCGCAUCUUCAACAAGAUACUAACAAAUGACAAUGUCCUAUUUCCACAUCCUAAAGAAGG